rnacentral:rRNA from 1 species
GUUGAUUGUCUUGUUUUUAGUUUUUGUUUAUUUAUCAUUUUAAUUGAAAAAUCAUUGGGGUUAUUGUAUUUUUGUGAUUUAAUUUUUUAUGCGAUAGGUUAUUUGUACCGUGAGGGGUUGGAGCUGUUUUGUUAAUGUUUUUUUGGAAGUUGAUUUUAUUUGUCGUACCUUGUGUAUCAGGGUUCAUUGAAUUUUAUUAUUUAUUUUUAUUUCCCGAUUUUAAAGGAGUUAAUAAUUUAUAUUAGUUACUGUUUCAUUAGUAUUAAUGAUAAUUUAUUGGUAGUGAAAUGCUAUUCGUCUUUAGUGGUUUCUGGUUUUUCAAGAAAUGAAUUUAAUUCAUACAUCUUAUUUAAUUUCUGUUGUUUAUUAUAUUUAUUUUUAUUUGAUGUUAAGAUUAAGGGGGAUUAGCUCCUUAGUUUUGUUUUAUAAUUUUUUGUUUAAUUUAGUUUUGUGGAUUUUAUAGUGAUUUUCAAUUUGAUUAUGUUAAAAUUUUAUUUGUUCUUUUGUUUAUUUUUUGUGAUUUAAUUUUUUAUUGAAAUGUUUACUUUAUUUUUAGUUGUAUAGUAAUUAUUGUGUAAUUAGUAAAUUUUUGUUUGAUUGCGUUGUUUGUAUUUAAUGUUAAUUUCCUUUGAGGAAUUCGGCAAAAGUUUUCAUGUCCGCCUGUUUAACAAAAACAUCUUUUCUUGUUAGUUUUUGAAGUAUGGCCUGCCCACUGACUUUGAGUUGAAGGGCCGCGGUAUUUUGACCGUGCAAAGGUAGCAUAAUCAUUAGUUCUUUAAUUGUGAUCUGGUAUGAAUGGCUUGACGAGACAUGAGCUGUCUUAUAGGUAUUGUUUUGUUGAAUUUAGUUUUUAAGUUAAAAUUCUUAGAUGUUUUUAUGGGACGAGAAGACCCUAUAGAGUUUAACAUUUAUUAUUGGCUAUGUUUAAUGUUGUUUGUAUUAUGUUUUUGAGCUUUUUAAAUGUUUUGUUGGGGUGAUGGGAGGAAUUUUUUUAACUCCUCUUUUCUUAUUAUAUAUUUAUUUAUAUUUGUUUGAUCCAUUUAUUUUGAUUAUAAGAUUAAAUUACCUUAGGGAUAACAGCGUUAUCUUCCUUGAGAGUUCUUAUUGGCGGGGAGGUUUGCGACCUCGAUGUUGGAUUAAGGUGAAUUUUCGGUGCAGGAGCUGGAAGCGAUUAGGUCUGUUCGACCUUUAAAACCUUACAUGAUCUGAGUUCAGACCGGCGUGAGCCAGGUUGGUUUCUAUCUAUAAUAAUGUUUAUAUCUUAGUACGAGAGGACCGGAUAUUUGAAAUAAUUUUAGUUAUGUGAUUUUCAUUAAUAUUAUACUAUUUUGGCAGAUAAGUGCAUUGGAUUUAGAAUCUAUUAA